GGGGUCUGCAGCAGCAGGGCGUCCCGCUGCUCGAUGUCACCGCCAAUGUGAUAGGGCAAGCCGCAGUUGGCAAAGGAGAUGUGCUCACCCCGCUCCAGCAAGACGAUCUCCGCCUGUUCGUCCAACCGACGGGCCCGCGCCGCCGCCGACGCGCCGCCGGCCACGCCAC
rnacentral:antisense_RNA from 1 species